rnacentral:rRNA from 1 species
CAGUAGUCAACGAGUUUGAUCAUGGCUCAGAUUGAACGCUGGCGGCAUGCUUUACACAUGCAAGUCGAACGGUAACGGGGACUUCGGUCUGCCGACGAGUGGCGAACGGGUGAGUAAUAUAUCGGAACGUGCCCAGUAAUGGGGGAUAGCUCGGCGAAAGCCGGAUUAAUACCGCAUACGCCCUGAGGGGGAAAGUGGGGGAUCUUCGGACCUCACGUUAUUGGAGCGGCCGAUAUCAGAUUAGCUAGUUGGUGGGGUAAAGGCCUACCAAGGCGACGAUCUGUAGCUGGUCUGAGAGGAUGAUCAGCCACACUGGGACUGAGACACGGCCCAGACUCCUACGGGAGGCAGCAGUGGGGAAUUUUGGACAAUGGGCGAAAGCCUGAUCCAGCCAUGCCGCGUGAGUGAAGAAGGCCUGCGGGUUGUAAAGCACUUUCAGUAGGGAAGAUUAUGACGGUACCUACAGAAGAAGCACCGGCUAACUCCGUG